CACGUAGGGUGCGAGCGUUUGUCCGGAAUUAUUGGGCGUAAAGAGCUCGUAGGCGGUGUGUCGCGUCGGCCGUGAAAACCUGCAGCUUAACUGUGGGCUUGCGGUCGAUACGGGCAUCACUGGAGUUCGGCAGGGGGAGACUGGAAUUCCUGGUGUAGCGGUGGAAUGCGCAGAUAUCAGGAGGAACACCGGUGGCGAAGGCGGGGUCUCUGGGGCAGUAACUGACGCUGGAGGAGCGAAAGCGUGGGGAGCGAACAGG
rnacentral:rRNA from 1 species